GUGGGGCCUGGGACCCUGGGACCCUGUGCUCCGACCCCACCUGCAAGGCUGCGCCCUCCGCAGGGGGCCGUCCGGGGGGGCCCUGCCCGCGGGUCACUGCCAGGAUCCUGCAAGCAGCCAGCGGGCACCGCUGUCACCACAUUUCACACUCUGAGGAGCUCUGGGCACAGCCUCCAGGGAAAGCCUGGCUGCCGACUCUGGCCCCCUGACUCCUGAAUCCUGCGAGUCACACGGCGGCACGGCCUGCAUAUCGGGGAGGAUGGCAGGCUGGGCUGUCCUGAGAAAAUUAUCACCUGCUGAGCCCCCUUGCUGCUGCUCUCUGGGCGUGCACUGUGAGUGCACUGUGGAGUUUACGGACACCGGCCCCCGCGACGGUGGAGUUUACGGGGACCGGCCCCCGCGAUGGUGGAGUUUACAGACACUGGCUCCCGCGACGGUGGAGUUUACGGGGACCGGCCCCCGCGACGGCAGAGUUUAUGGGGACCGGCUCCCCCGACGGUGGGGGCCCACGAGUCCCAGCAUCUGCAGCAGAGUCGCCGGAUUGCAUGAGGUCAGCGAGUGUGUCCACUGCAGACCCUGCGGAGCCACCAUCCAAAACCACAUUGAGAAUAUUUCCAUUACUCUAGGAAAAGCUUCUCCGUCCAGCUGAGGCGGGAUGUCAUAGACUUACCCUCCUACCCGAAACAGCCAAAAAGCAAAACAAAACCAGACAAAACGCAGACACAUGGCUUCCAAGACACGGGACACCAGGCAUUAGAGGACAGUAACCCUGAGUGAUGGGAACAGCCGUGCCCUAGUCACCCGUGCUCACUGCCCUGGGAGGCAGUCCAGGCUGUGGGUGGGAAGGCGGAACCCACGCAGGUCCCAGUGGACCCCCGAGGCUGGACAGACCGAGGCGGCUCGAGUUCAUGGACACAGUACCAGAGUGGAGAGGGUCGCACAGAGAGGGACCCUGAAGACCUGGAUGGGACCCCUGGAGUAUUUGGAAGAGCAUGGCCCUGCGGAUCCCCAUAAGGAAACUCCCCAGGGUGGGUAAAAAGGCACCCGGAAGGAUGAGAGGGAACAGGGCCCGACUCCUGCAGGGCUGAGGACAGUGUCUCUCCCCAUCAGCCAAGCAGGAAAUCUCGUAACUCACGGGGCCUUGGGUGAAGCCCUUGGGAAGGGCUUGCCUCGGCGGGGGACGAUCAGCCUGAGCCCGAGCUGUGCUCUGAGCCCUCCUACCAAGCCAUAAAAGCAAGACUAGAAAGGAUCAAACUGCCUCCAGAUCACUUAACCGCACGUCCAGGACAAAGCUGAAGAUUUCCAGGAAGACAAAAAUCCCCGGCACCCAGCCAGGUGAAAUUCACAAGGACUGGCGUCCAAAGGAAGAGGACCUGCCAGGCAAUGGGAAAAGCAGGAGAACGGGACCCAUGAUGAGAAAAAUGAUGUAAUCAAAACCAUCCCAGGGCUGGGUGCGGUGGCUAACGCCUGUCAUCCUAGCACUUUGGGAAGCCGAGGUGGAGGAUCACUUGAGGCCAAGAGUUCAAGACCAGAUGGGGCAACAUAGUAAGACCCUGUCUCUAUGACAAAAAAAAAAAAAGGUAAAACCAUCCCAAAGUUGACACAGAUGUGAGAAUGAGCAGAGGUGGGCAUUGAAGCAGUCGUUUUUGCUGUAUUCCCUCUGUUCAGAAGUUAAGUAGAACCACAGCUCGAUGUCCCCUCAGGCUCAUUAGGAUGGUUACUAUUCAAAAAAAGAAAGUGGCCAGGUGCGGUGGCUCACGCCUGUAAUCCCAGCACUUUGGGAGGCCAAGGCGGGUGGAUCACAAGGUCAGGAGUUCGAGACCAGCCUGACCAAUAUGAUGAAACCCCAUCUCUACUAAAAAUACAAAAAUUAGCUGGGUGUGGUGGCAGGCGCCUGUAAUCCCAGCUACUCAGGAGGCUGAGACAGGAGAAUUGCCUAAACCCGGGAGGUGGAGGUUGCAGUGAACCGAGAUCGCGCCAUUGCACUCCAGCCUGGGCAACAAGAGCGAAACUCCAUCUCAAAAAAAAAAAGUAACAAGUGUUGUUCAGGGUGUGGAGAGAUGGGAGCCCUUGUGUGAUGUUGUGGAAUGUAAAACGAUGUAGCCACUGUGGGAAGCAAUAUAGCAGUUCCUCAAACAAUAAAUAAAUGGCCCAGGCGGGUGGCUCACACCUGCAAUCCCAGCACUUUGGGAGGCUGAGGCGGGCGGAUCACCUGAGGUCAGGAGUUCAAGACCAGCCUGGCCAACGUGGUGAAACCCCGUCUCUACUAAAAAUACAAAAAAUUAGCUGGGAGUGAUGGUGGCCACCUGUAAUCCUAGCUAUUCGAGAGUCUGAGGCAGAGAAUUGCUUGAACCCAGACAUGGAGGUUGCAGUGAGCCAAGAUCAUGCCACUGCACUCCAGCCUGGGUGACAGAGCGAGACUCCGCCUCAAAAAAAAAAAAAAAUAUAUAUAUAUAUAUAAAAUAAAUAAAUAAAUAAGCCCAGUGUGGUGGCUCACACCUGUAAUCCUAGUGCUUUGGGAGGCUGAGGUGGGCAGAUCACCUGAGGUCAGGAGUUCAAGACCAGUCUGGCCAACAUGGUGAAACCCCAUCUCUACUAAAAAUACAAAAAAUUAGCUGGGCGUGGUGGCGGGUGCCUGUAAUCCCAGCUACUCGGGAGGCUGAGGCAGAAGAAUCGCUUGAACCCAGAAGGCAGAGGUUGCAGUGAGCCAAGAUUGCGCCACUGCAUUCCGGCCUGGGAGAGAGAACGAGACUCUGUCUCAAAUAAAUAAAUAAAUAAAUGGGCCCAGCACGAUGGCUCACACCUGUAAUCCCAGUGCUUUGGGAGGCUGAGGCGGGCAGAUCACCUGAGGUCAGGAGUUCGAGACCAGCCUGGCCAACAUGGUGAAACCCCGUCUCUACUAAAGAUACAAAAAAAUUAGCCAGGUGUGGUGGCAGGCCCCUGUAAUCCCAGCUAUUUGGGAGGCUGAGGCAGGAGAAUUGCUUGAACCCGGGAGGUGGAGGUUGCAGUGAGCCGAGAUCAUGCCAUUGCACUCCAGCCUGGGCGACAGGGCGAGAUUUCAUCUCAAUAAAUGAAUGAAUGAAUCAAUCAAUAAAAAUUUAAAAAAUAAAACAGAUGGAAAAUUCUGUCCUGAGCACUUGGGGAAGGCAGGGCCAGGCCUUGCACUGCCGCACUCCCGGCUGGUGUUUUGACACCUGUGCUUUCAGCUCCCAGGAGCAGAGCUGGGCUUCACUCAUCUUCCCCCUCCUCUGGCUUCCCCCCAUGUGACUGCAGCCUACGUUUUAAAGAUUUUUACAUCAACUUUUAAUUUCAGAAUAGAUUUAGACUUACAUAAAGGUUUCUCUUCUUUUUUUUUUUCCUGAGAUGGAGUCUUGCUCUGUUGCCCAGGCUGGAGUACAAUGGCGCGAUCUCAGCUCACUGCAACCUCCAUCUCCUGGGUUCAAGUGAUUCUCCUGCCUCAGCCUCCCGAGUAGCUGGGAUUACAAGCAUGUGCCACUGUGCCCGGCCUCCAGUUUUUGUACUUUUAGUAGAGACGGGGUUUCACCAUGUUGGUCAGGCUAGUCUCAAACUCCUGACGUCAUGAUCCACCUGCCUCAGCCUCCCAAAGUGCUGGGAUUACAGGCAUGAGCCACCGUGCCCGGCUAAGACUUACAUAAAGGUUUCAAAAUGAACCCGAGAGUCCUGUUAAGUUUUCACCGAGGAGGCCUGGGGCAUGAGUCCAUACAGCAAACUGCAGCCUGGCAUGGCCUGAAGGCCACAGAAGGCUGGCCUCUUGUCACAGGGACUGGGUCCAGGUCACCGCAGCUGCCAGCUGUCAGUUGCCAGUGGCCGCUGAUUUCAAGGCAAAGUGCCCAGCGGCCACCACCAAAACUGCCUCUGCGCAUCACUUCCGUUUCCAUGAACGUUGUGCAGCUCCAGGUCUGAAUUUGUCCUGGUUCUAAGCCAAUUUCAGAAUUGUGAAUGAAAGCCAAUUAAGAUUUUUAAGUUGAAUUUGUUGCAAUGUUGUCUCGUGACAGUUCCAUACAGCCUGCACACAGUUUCUCUGAUUAUUUAACGUCUUACAUUCGUGAGAUGUGUUUGCUACCAUUGAUGAACUGGUAUGUACCGGCAACUCUCUGUAAUUUUUCUUUUUUUUUUUUUUUUUGAGAUGGAGUCUUGCUCUUUUGCCAGGCUGGGUUCAACCUGGGAACCUCCUGGGUUCAAGCGAUUCUCCUGCUUCAGCCUCCCUAGUAGCUGGGACUACAAGCACGCACCACCACACCCGGCUAAUUUUUGUAUUUUUAGAGAUGGGUUUCACCAUGUUGGCCAGGAUGGUCUCGAUCUCUUGACCUCAUGAUCCGCCUGCUUCGGCCUCCCACUGCGCCCGGCUGCAUCUCACUGUAAUUUUAAUUUGCAUUUCUCUGGUUCUACAGAUGUUGAGCACUUUUCUGUGUUUUUUUAUUUUUAUUUUUUAUUUAUUUAGUUUUGAGUUGGAGUCUCACUCGGUCACCCAGGCUGGAGUGCAGUGGCAAGAUCUUGGCUCACUGCAACUUCUGCCUCCCUGGUUCAAGUGAUUCUCCUGCCUCAGUCUCCCAAGUAGCUGGGAUUACAGGUAUGCACCACCACAUCCAGCUAAUUUUUGUAUUUUCAGUAGAGACAGGGUUUUACCAUGUUGGCCAGGCUGGUCUUGAACUCCUGACCUCAGGUGAUCAGCCUGCCUCAGCCUCCCAAAGUGCUGGGAUUACAGGUGUGAGCCACCGCACCUGACCCCCACCUUUCUAUGUUUAUUGGCCAUUUGUGUAAUAUCUUUUUUUUUUUUUUUGAGGCAGGGUUUCACUCUAUUGCCGAGGCUGAAGUGCAGUGGCAUGAUUUUGGCUUACUGCAACCUCCGUCUCCUGGGUUCAAGCGAUUCUCCUGCCUCAGCCUCCCAAGUAGCUGGGAUUAGAGGGCCCACUACCACACCAAGCUAAUUUUUGUAUUUUUAGUAGAGACGAGGUUUCACCAUGUUGGCCAGGCUGGUCUUGAACUCCUGAGCCCAGCUGAUCCACCCACUUCGGCCUCCGAAGCUCCUGGGAUCACAGUUGUGAGCCACUGCACCCAGCCAUGAAUGCAAAUCUUUUGUCAGAGAUAUCUACAAUGAAUAUUUUUCCCAGUCUCUGGAUUGCCUAUUCAUUUUCUUCAUGGUAUCUUUUGAUCAGCAAAAAAAAAUUGAUUUUGAUAAAAAUCUACUUUGCUAUCAAUUUCUUUUCUUGUAUGUCUGGUGUUUCUGUGACCUGAAAGAAGUCUUUGCCUACCCCAAAUUGUGACGAUUGUCCCUCGUCUUCUUCCAGAAGGUCUUGGAUUUUAUGUUUAAGUCUAUGUGACUCAUCUUGAUUUCAUUUUUGUGCAGAGUGAAAUAAAGUUAAGGUUCAAUUUUUUUCUUUCUUUCUUUCUUUUUUUUUUUUGAGACAGCCUGUUGCCCAGGCUGGAAUGCAGUGGCACAAUCUCGGCUCACUGCAGCCUUCACCUCCCAGGUUCAUGUGAUCCUCCCACCUCAGCCUUCCGCUCCCAAGUAACAGGGAUUACAGGCAUGUGCCGCCAUGCCUGGCUAAUUUUUGUAUUUUUAGUAGAGACAGGAUUUCGCCAUGUUGCCCAGGCUGGUCUCAACCUCUCAGACUCAAGAAAUCCUCCUGUCUCAGCCUCCUGAGUAGCUGGGACUAUAGGUGCGUGCCACCAUGCCCAGCUAAUUUUCAAAAAUUUUUUUAUAGAGACAGGGUCUUGCUGUGUUGCCCAGGCUGGUCUCCAACUCCUGGGCUCCCAAAGUGCUGGGAUUACGUGAGCCACGACACCCGGCCUUAAAAGGAUUUUCUACAUGUCGGAUCAUGUAUGUCUUCCUUUCCUUUUCCUGCCCUAUUGCCCCGGGACUUCCUGCACGGCGCAGAGGGAGGUGGCGAGAGAAGCCCCCGGCCCUGCUCCCCACCUCGGCCGGGGCCUUCUGUGUUUCACCAUCAGCCAUGGCUUCAGCGAUGGGUUUGGAUAGAUGGUCUUGUCGGUGUAGUUGGCUCCCUUCCAUUGCUGGUUUGCUGAGAGUUUGCACCACGAACGAUGACGCAUUUUGUCAUGAUUUUGCCUGAGGGGAUUACAUGGAUUUUUUUCUUAUUCUGUUAACAUGAAUGUGAAAGUUGUCAGAAUAAAUAUAAGGUCACUGGUGUUAAAACAACAACAGGCUGGGCACGGUGGCUCAUGCCUGUAAUCCCAGCACUUUGGGAGGCUGAGGCAGGAGGAUCACCGGAGGUCAGGAGUUCCAGACCAGCCUGACCGACACGGUGAAACCCCGUCUCUACUAAAAAUACAAAAAUUAGCCUGGUGUGGUGGCAUGUGCCUGUAAUUCCAGCUACUCGGGAGGCUGAGGCAGGAGAACCGCUUGAACCCGGGAGGCAGAGGCUGCAGUGAGCCGAGAUCGCACCACUGCACUCCAGACUGGGCAACGAGAGCAAAACGGCAUCUCAAUAACCAAUAAAACACCACCACCACCACCACCAAACCGUGACAAACAGAGCUGGGCGAGGUCCUGAAGAGAUGUGUCAUGCCUGUGCCUGAGGAAAAAGACUAUGGGCACCACAGCCCUGCACGAAGGCCUUGAGACCCAAACAAUGCUUCUCCAAGGACGUCUGCUCAGCCACCGCCUGUCCAACCUCUGACUGGCCUCACCCCAGCUGUUGGUAUUUGUAGCCAAGGAUAAUUUUCAAAACAACAUGAUUCUCCCCAUUUUCCCUUAGAAACCCUCCUCUUCCUUUCCCUACAGGAAUAUGCACGUAGUUUACAGAGGCCAAGCAUUCCCUUUGCAGCUUGCUAGUCCCAAAUAAACAGCUCUUCUUUUAGGGAGUCCCUCUCUGUCUGUUAGUUAGCUGGACAUGGUAAAUUAUGCUGAUUGACUUUAGAAAGCUGAAUCCUGGCCGGGCACAGUGGCUCACGCCUGUAAUCCCAGCACUUUGGGAGGCUGAGGUGGGUGGAUCACGAGGUCAGGGGUUUGAGACCAGCUUGGCCAAUAUGGUGAAACCCUGUCUCUACUAAAAAUACAAAAAUUAGCCGAGCGUGGUGGCGCGCACCUGUGAUCCCAGCUACUUGGCAGGCUGAGGCGGGAGAAUCACUUGAACCUGGGAGGCGGAGGCUGCUGGGUUGCAGUGAGCCAGAAUCGCACCACUGUACUCCAGCCUGGGUGACAGAGCAAGAUUCCAUC
rnacentral:lncRNA from 1 species